rnacentral:tRNA from 1 species
GUGCCGGUGGCCGGCGGGUGGCCCGUCGUGCCGGCCGACGGUGGGCUCGUCCGGUUCGUCCCCGAACAGGUACGCC